CCCCGCUGCCUCCACUGAUACAACCCCAUUUAUAUUUCUCAGAAUUAAUUUGACCAACUUUAUCUAUACGAUCUGUGACAACUAGACUAACGAUAGAUUCACGAAGAAAAAAAAAAGGAACAAACAAUAAACUGACAAAUGAAGACAUUUUAAAAAAUGUUUCUGUCAUCAUCAUAUCAUAAGUACAAAAUUCAUCAAAAUAUGUAUAUCCAAAAUUUGACUAAAAGAUAGAAGACUGUAUGCAAAUCAAAAGUACCAUUACCGAUAUUCUUCCUAAUACAGAAUAAUUGUCCAGUGUUAUGCUUUGAGUUUAACUUCAAAUGAUACUUCAAACACAAGUCUUCAAAUGAAGCGUUGUCAUCGUACGCGAUUAGAAGUGCGCCGGAAAGUGAACGUAAUUUUCAGAUUUAACGUUCGCAAUAAUGGCACAAAGAAAAAUACGGAGCGCGUACUUAGUCGACGCUAAAACUUGAUGCUGUUUUAAUAUGGUAGCUUAAUGCACCAUACAUAAUAUACACAUCGAACAAUACAAAUCUCAUAUUUUGAAUAAACAGUAGUAAGUACGUAACACAACACACACACAUAUACACACACAAAUAAAGAGAGACACGUGCUUUUUAAUGUGUAUCCUCGUGAGAAUUAAAUAUUUAUUUUUAAAAGGUAA
rnacentral:lncRNA from 1 species